rnacentral:rRNA from 1 species
UAGGGAAUCUUCGGCAAUGGACGAAAGUCUGACCGAGCAACGCCGCGUGAGUGAAGAAGGUUUUCGGAUCGUAAAACUCUGUUGUUAGAGAAGAACAAGGACGUUAGUAACUGAACGUCCCCUGACGGUAUCUAACCAGAAAGCCACGGCUAACUACGUGCCAGCAGCUGCGGUAAUACGUAGGUGGCAAGCGUUGUCCGGAUUUAUUGGGCGUAAAGCGAGCGCAGGCGGUAUCUUAAGUCUGAUGUGAAAGCCCCCGGCUCAACCGGGGAGGGUCAUUGGAAACUGGGAGACUUGAGUGCAGAAGAGGAGAGUGGAAUUCCAUGUGUAGCGGUGAAAUGCGUAGAUAUAUGGAGGAACACCAGUGGCGAAGGCGGCUCUCUGGUCUGUAACUGACGCUGAGGCUCGAAAGCGUGGGGAGCAAACAGG